GAACGCUGGCGGCAGGCCUAACACAUGCAAGUCGAACGAACUCUUCGGAGUUAGUGGCGGACGGGUGAGUAACACGUGGGCACGUGCCUUUAGGUUCGGAAUAACUCAGGGAAACUUGUGCUAAUACCGAAUGUGCCCUUCGGGGGAAAGAUUUAUCGCCUUUAGAGCGGCCCGCGUCUGAUUAGCUAGUUGGUGAGGUAAAGGCUCACCAAGGCGACGAUCAGUAGCUGGUCUGAGAGGAUGAUCAGCCACAUUGGGACUGAGACACGGCCCAAACUCCUACGGGAAGCAGCAGUGGGGAAUCUUGCGCAAUGGGCGAAAGCCUGACGCAGCCAUGCCGCGUGAAUGAUGAAGGUCUUAGGAUUGUAAAAUUCUUUCACCGGGGACGAUAAUGACGGUACCCGGAGAAGAAGCCCCGGCUAACUUCGUG
rnacentral:rRNA from 1 species